UGGCUUUGACAGCCUAGAUACUAAAAUUAGAACAGUACAAAGAUUAUCUUGGUUCUUGCACCAAGAUGAUAUGCAAAUUCAUGAGACAUCCCAUAUUUUU
rnacentral:snRNA from 1 species